CAAGCCUAAGUCAGGGAUCCAACCUCAUAUAGACACAGCAGACUGGGCAAAGACAACUGACUUUAACAAUGACCAAACCUGUUCAUUUAGUUAUUUUCCUGAUUCUGUUUUGUUUCUUGGCUGGUACUGAGGGUCAAACACUGACAGAGUCUGAAUCAGUGGUUAAAAGGCCUGGAGACUCCCACAGACUGACCUGCACAUACUCAGGGUUCAGCAGUGACAUUUAUGCUAAUUGGAUCAGACAGGCUGCUGGAAAAAGACCGGAAUGGAUUGCUUAUAUCAACCCUAGCAGUGGCAGCAUCUACUCUCAGUCAGUCAGAGGCCGGUUUACCAUCUCCAGAGACAACAGCAGAAAGCAGGUGUAUCUGCAGAUGAACAGCUUGACAACUGAGGACUCUGCUGUUUAUUAUUGUGCCAAAGAGCCACAGUGA